rnacentral:lncRNA from 1 species
AAUAGGAGUUCAUCCAUUGGAGGAAUCUAGAGGACACUGUGGAAGGUCGACUGCUGGGGGAGUCCGGAUGGUAUUAUGGAAGCUCGGAUAGUCGGAAGAGUUCAGAAAGACGCCGCACAAGGUCGGAAGCUAGAAGAGCCCUGGGAGGGUUGGCCUCUUACGAACUUCAGCUGGGGUUAUUUUAUACCCAACACCAAUCCCCCUACUUUCGUGUUUGAGUUUCGAAUGAAGGAAGUAUAGAAAAAUUUUCACAGUCG